CCUGGAGAGCUCUGCACAAGAAUUCCAGCGUGCAUGGACUGCUGGUCCUGUACGCAAAUGGUAAAUAAAAUCUUGAAUGCUAAGCCAAACACCAACAAGAUUGUUUUUCUCACUCCCCCCAAUUUCUCUGCACUGUUUUAUAUAUCAUGUUUGAGUUUGUGUGGUAUUUUAUCUAUCAAAUUCCUGAGGCAUACUGAUGGGUGAAGUGAAACACACACACAGUGUUUGGAGCUGGAAUAGCACAAGUUGAGACAGGAUCACACUGAAAACCCUUUGGGUGUGGAGUGAAUGUGCAUUUAUGCACUCUUUGAAGAAACUGCAAGUUACAGCCACUGCAGCAGAUUUACAUCACGUGGUUUCACAGGACGUAGUCUGGACCUCAGCGCUGAGGUGAAGGAGAAGUUCAACCAGCUCUGCUUGCAGACCGGCAUCCUUCCUGAAAAUAUUGUUCAUCUUCCUAAAACCGAGGAGUGUCCGCUUGAGUGUUUUGUCUGAUCUGUUGUUGAUCGUCUCACCGACACUGCAUAAAGAUCUGACACCAUCUGUUAUGGAAAUGUGACUGAGCAACAUCUGUAGCAGUUUUUACCAAUAAAAAUGCAAAAAUCUAGAAUGUUUUUCUUCAUUAUUCAUCCUUUAUAUGAAAUAAACUGAAGAACAUCCAUAACAACAC